AUACUUCUUAUCCUGAAUAUGUCACAAUACAAAUAGAAGAUGAUGAUACUUCUUAUCCUGAAUAUGUCACAAUACAAAUAGAAGAUGAUGAUGAUGAUAAGAGUGGACAAUAUAAGAGGACUUCUGAUCUUGAAUCAGUGAUAGUUCAAACAGAAAAAGAAGAAAAUGAUGAUUAUGACGAUGAA